GGGCAGGGACAGAGGGAAACACAACACACAGGGCUUCUUGCUGCUGGAGGAGUGUCUAUGCAGUUGUACACAACGCAGUUUGUGGUGGAAAUACACAGUACGUAUAUGUUUCUUUUCCGCAUUUGUGUAUGUGAGAGGGGGAAUCGACUGCUUAAGGACAGGGUUUCCUGCAAGGACUGUCUGCAGCAACCACUCUGAGGAAAACAUUGUUUCUAAACGACUACCCAGAGGAAAACGAUUGGCUGAGGGUCUCCAGAUCGAGAGAAAACUCCUGGUGUUUGCUGAGACUGGCAAUCAAGAGAUGUCGCCCUGAUUGCUAUUUUGAUGGGCGCCGCUUUCCAUUAAGCAAGAUGUCCACCACCACA